UGCACUUGUUGUAGAUGCCUUCAUUUCUGUACAGCUGUUCUUAUAAUUUUGAGCUCGCCUACUGAUUUUUAUAACAUCCACAACCUUACAGUUACUAUUGGGCAGCGCAGCAGCAGAGUAAGAGCAGCGCUGCAGCAGAACGAGAUGCAACAUGAGAAGAGUGCAGCAAUACAUUUAGAGCAAGAGAUCCGAAGUUCGAGCUCGCACCAAUUGUCAAUUGUAUGAGCCUGCAUCGAUAGCUAUUUCGUUGGCGCGUAGUUUAAAAUUGCAAGUAUGGACAAUUGUGUUUGUCUCGUGUACCCUACUGCACAAAUAUUACACUGUUCAUUUUUUCUUUUUGCUAAUUGUCAUUAGUCUAAAAUUCUAAAUGUUUUAUUCGCAACAAAGAAUCUUCAAAAUACACAAUUGAUUUUUUUUUUUUGGUUUGGAUCACAGUCGCACACAGUCAAACCUAAAACGAUUACACCAAACCAAUCCAACAUCAGAAACAAGAAACAAAACAAUAUCUAGUUGUCGGUAGCAA